CUCUAGCCCCGAUUGCAGCGACAUCCUUUUGUGCAGCGGAGCGGAGCAAAAGAUAUAGCGGAAAGCGGGAAAUAGC
rnacentral:sRNA from 1 species